rnacentral:rRNA from 1 species
UACGUAGGGUGCAAGCGUUUGUCCGGAAUUAUUGGGCGUAAAGAGCUCGUAGGCGGUCUGUCGCGUCGGCUGUGAAAACUCGGGGGCUCAACUCCGAGCUUGCAGUCGAUACGGGCAGGCUAGAGUUCGGCAGGGGAGACUGGAAUUCCUGGUGUAGCGGUGAAAUGCGCAGAUAUCAGGAGGAACACCGGUGGCGAAGGCGGGUCUCUGGGCCGAUACUGACGCUGAGGAGCGAAAGCGUGGGGGAGCGAACAGG